ACGGGGUGCAGCAGGCGCGAAACCUUUACAAUGCACGAAAGUGUGAUAAGGGGACUCCAAGUGUCUACGUUUGUAGACUUUUGCCAAGUUUAGAAAGCUUGGCGAAUAAGGACUGGGUAAGACCCGUGCCAGCCGCCGCGGUAACACGGGCAGUUCAAGUGGUUUCCACGCAUAUUGGGCCUAAAGCGUACGUAGCCGGUUUUGUACGUCCUUAGUGAAAUCUGGUAGCUUAACUAUCAGGCUUGCUAGGGAGACUGCAAGACUUGGAGCCGGGAUGGGUUGGAGGAAUUUCCAGGGGUAGGAGUAAAAUCCUGUGAUCCUUGAAGGACCAUCGGUGGCGAAGGCGUCCAACUGGAACGGGCUCGACGGUGAGGUACGAAAGCUAGGGGAGCAACCCGGAUUAGAUACCCGGUUAGUCCUAGCCGUAAAUGAUGCUGAUUUGGUGUAGCAUGACUUACGAGGUCAUGCUGUGCCGUAGGGAAGCCGUUAAAUCAGCCGCCUGGGAGUACGUCGCAAGAC
rnacentral:rRNA from 1 species